CCCUGAUGUUAGCGGCGGACGGGUGAGUAACACGUGGGUAACCUGCCUGUAAGACUGGGAUAACUCCGGGAAACCGGGGCUAAUACCGGAUGCUUGAUUGAACCGCAUGGUUCAAUUAUAAAAGGUGGCUUUUAGCUACCACUUACAGAUGGACCCGCGGCGCAUUAGCUAGUUGGUGAGGUAACGGCUCACCAAGGCAACGAUGCGUAGCCGACCUGAGAGGGUGAUCGGCCACACUGGGACUGAGACACGGCCCAGACUCCUACGGGAGGCAGCAGUAGGGAAUCUUCCGCAAUGGACGAAAGUCUGACGGAGCAACGCCGCGUGAGUGAUGAAGGUUUUCGGAUCGUAAAACUCUGUUGUUAGGGAAGAACAAGUACCGUUCGAAUAGGGCGGUACCUUGACGGUACCUAACCAGAAAGCCACGGCUAACUACGUGCCAGCAGCCGCGGUAAUACGUAGGUGGCAAGCGUUGUCCGGAAUUAUUGGGCGUAAAGCGCGCGCAGGCGGUUUCUUAAGUCUGAUGUGAAAGCCCCCGGCUCAACCGGGGAGGGUCAUUGGAAACUGGGGAACUUGAGUGCAGAAGAGGAGAGUGGAAUCCCACGUGUAGCGGUGAAAUGCGUAGAGAUGUGGAGGAACACCAGUGGCGAAGGCGACUCUCUGGUCUGUAACUGACGCUGAGGCGCGAAAGCGUGGGGAGCGAACAGGAUUAGAUACCCUGGUAGUCCACGCCGUAAACGAUGAGUGCUAAGUGUUAGAGGGUUUCCGCCCUUUAGUGCUGCAGCAAACGCAUUAAGCACUCCGCCUGGGGGAGUACGGUCGCAAGACUGAAACUCAAAG
rnacentral:rRNA from 1 species